UACGUAGGGGGGCAAGCGUUUGUCCGGAUUUAUUGGGCGUAAAGAGCGUGUAGGCGGCUUUACAGGUCCGUUGUGAAAACUCGAGGCUCAACCUCGAGACGCCGGUGGAAACCGUAAAGCUAGAGUCCGGAAGAGGAGAGUGGAAUUCCUGGUGUAGCGGUGAAAUGCGCAGAUAUCAGGAGGAACACCAAUGGCGAAGGCAGCUCUCUGGGACGGUACUGACGCUGAGACGCGAAAGCGUGGGGAGCGAACAGG
rnacentral:rRNA from 1 species